rfam:Pseudomonas syringae pv. pisi str. 1704B contig11.35, whole genome shotgun sequence.
UCGUAAGUCGCUGCCCUGCAUAUGCUGGCAGCGGCGAGCUUCGUAUACCCCGAAUGGGUUUGCGAGGUUUCACCAGAAAAAGGAA